rnacentral:rRNA from 1 species
UACGUAGGGUGCAAGCGUUGUCCGGAAUUAUUGGGCGUAAAGAGCUCGUAGGCGGCCUGUCGCGUCGGAUGUGAAAGCCCGGGGCUUAACCCCGGGUCUGCAUUCGAUACGGGCAGGCUAGAGUUCGGUAGGGGAGAUCGGAAUUCCUGAUGUAGCGGUGAAAUGCGCAGAUAUCAGGAGGAACACCGGUGGCGAAGGCGGCCAUCUGGACGGCUAUUGACGCUGAGACGCGAAAGCGUGGGGAGCAAACAGG